rfam:Eubacterium siraeum 70/3 draft genome.
GCCUCUGUAGCUCAGUCGGUAGAGCAGAGGACUGAAAAUCCUCGUGUCGUUGGUUCGAUUCCGACCGGAGGCA